UCCUCAUGGCUUAGACGGUAAGGAAUCUGCCUGCAAUGCAGGAGACCCAGGUUCAAUCCCUGGGUUGGGAA
rnacentral:tRNA from 1 species